CCUACGGGAGGCAGCAGUGAGGAAUAUUGGUCAAUGGGCGCGAGCCUGAACCAGCCAAGUCGCGUGAGGGAAGACGGCCCUACGGGUUGUAAACCUCUUUUGCCGGGGAGCAACGGGCGCCACGUGUGGCGCCACUGCGAGUACCCGGAGAAAAAGCAUCGGCUAACUCCGUGCCAGCAGCCGCGGUAAUACGGAGGAUGCGAGGGUUAUCCGGAUUUAUUGGGGUUAAGGGGGGCGUAGGCGGAGGGUUAAGACAGUGGUCAAAUUGAGGGGCGCACCCCCUUCCCGCCAUUGAAACUGGCGCUCUUGAGUGGAAGAGAAGUAUGCGGAAUGCGUGGUGUAGCGGUGAAAUGCAUAGAUAUCACGCAGAACACCGAUUGCGAAGGCAGCAUGCCGGCUUCCGACUGACGCUGAAGCACGAAAGCGUGGGGAUCGAACAGGAUUAGAUACCCGGGUAGUC
rnacentral:rRNA from 1 species